AGUGAACGCUGGCGGUAGGCCCAACACAUGCAAGUCGAACGGCAGCACAGUAAGAGCUUGCUCUUACGGGUGGCGAGUGGCGGACGGGUGAGGAAUACAUCGGAAUCUACUUUUUCGUGGGGGAUAACGUAGGGAAACUUACGCUAAUACCGCAUACGACCUACGGGUGAAAGCAGGGGAUCUUCGGACCUUGCGCGAUUGAAUGAGCCGAUGUCGGAUUAGCUAGUUGGUGGGGUAAAGGCCCACCAAGGCGACGAUCCGUAGCUGGUCUGAGAGGAUGAUCAGCCACACUGGAACUGAGACACGGUCCAGACUCCUACGGGAGGCAGCAGUGGGGAAUAUUGGACAAUGGGCGCAAGCCUGAUCCAGCCAUACCGCGUGGGUGAAGAAGGCCUUCGGGUUGUAAAGCCCUUUUGUUGGGAAAGAAAAGCAGCAGGUUAAUACCCCGCUGUUCUGACGGUACCCAAAGAAUAAGCACCGGCUAACUUCGUG
rnacentral:rRNA from 1 species